rnacentral:rRNA from 1 species
UACGUAGGGUGCAAGCGUUGUCCGGAAUUAUUGGGCGUAAAGAGCUCGUAGGCGGUCUGUCGCGUCGAAUGUGAAAACCCGGGGCUCAACCCCGGGCCUGCAUUCGAUACGGGCAGACUAGAGUUCGGUAGGGGAGACUGGAAUUCCUGGUGUAGCGGUGAAAUGCGUCAGAUAUCAGGAAGAACACCAGUGGCGAAGGCGGCUCUCGGUCGGCGAACCUGACGCUGAGGAGCGAAAGCAUGGGGAGCGAACGG